rnacentral:rRNA from 1 species
CUCCUACGGGAGGCAGCAGUAGGGAAUCUUCCGCAAUGGGCGCAAGCCUGACGGAGCAACGCCGCGUGAGUGAGGAAGGCCUUCGGGUUGUAAAACUCAGUCACCUGGGAAGAGAGGUAUGGGGAGUGGAAUGCCCCAUACGAGACGGUACCAGGGGAGGAAGCCCCGGCUAACUACGUGCCAGCAGCCGCGGUAAUACGUAGGGGGCAAGCGUUGUCCGGAAUCACUGGGCGUAAAGCGUGCGUAGGCGGUCUUUCAAGUCCGGGGUGAAAACUCAAGGCUCAACCUUGAGAAUGCCUUGGGAACUGGGGGACUUGAGUACUGGAGAGGCAAGGGGAAUUCCACGUGUAGCGGUGAAAUGCGUAGAGAUGUGGAGGAAUACCAGUGGCGAAGGCGCCUUGCUGGACAGUGACUGACGCUGAGGCACGAAAGCGUGGGGAGCAAACAGGAUUAGAUACCCUGGUAGUCCACGCCGUAAACGAUGAGUGCUAGGUGUUGGGGGUUCAUCCCCUCAGUGCCGAAGGAAACCCAAUAAGCACUCCGCCUGGGGAGUACGGUCGCAAGACUGAAACUCAAAGGAAUUGACGGGGGCCCGCACAAGCAGUGGAGCAUGUGGUUUAAUUCAAAGCAACGCGAAGAACCUUACCAGGGCUUGACAUCCCUCUGACCGGUUCAGAGAUGGACCUUCCCUUCGGGGCAGAGGAGACAGGUGGUGCAUGGUUGUCGUCAGCUCGUGUCAUGAGAUGUUGGGUUAAGUCCCGCAACGAGCGCAACCCUUGACCUGUGUUACCAGCACGUAAUGGCGGGGACUCACAGGUGACUGCCGGCGUAAGUCGGAGGAAGGUGGGGAUGACGUCAAAUCAUCAUGCCCUUUAUGUCCUGGGCUACACACGUGCUACAAUGGGCGGUACAACGGGAAGCGAGACCGCGAGGUGGAGCGAAACCCAAAAAGCCGUUCGUAGUUCGGAUUGCAGGCUGCAACCCGCCUGCAUGAAGCCGGAAUUGCUAGUAAUCGCGGAUCAGCAUGCCGCGGUGAAUCCGUUCCCGGGCCUUGCACACACCGCCCGU